UGGGGAAUAUUGGACAAUGGGCGAAAGCCUGAUCCAGCCAUGCCGCGUGAGUGAUGAAGGCCCUAGGGUUGUAAAGCUCUUUUGUGCGGGAAGAUAAUGACGGUACCGCAAGAAUAAGCCCCGGCUAACUUCGUGCCAGCAGCCGCGGUAAUACGAAGGGGGCUAGCGUUGCUCGGAAUCACUGGGCGUAAAGGGUGCGUAGGCGGGUUCUUAAGUCAGAGGUGAAAUCCUGGAGCUCAACUCCAGAACUGCCUUUGAUACUGAGAGUCUUGAGUAUGACAGAGGUGAGUGGAACUGCGAGUGUAGAGGUGAAAUUCGUAGAUAUUCGCAAGAACACCAGUGGCGAAGGCGGCUCACUGGGUCAUUACUGACGCUGAGGCACGAAAGCGUGGGGAGCAAACA
rnacentral:rRNA from 1 species